AGUACAGGGCAGUUAGCAUGUAAACACCGUUCAUUUUAAUAUUCAGUAAUUACACACAAUGUCAGUUAACGUAUUUUUCACAUGGUUUGAGGACUUAGUAAAAGUUGCAGAAGGUAAAUUCGCAUGCGGGCAAUUUUUAAUACUGUAAUGUACUAAAUUGAGGCCGGUUGUAAAAGUUGUGAUGCUAAUCACGGAAUUAGCGCGUUAGCAUGCUAGCGACGUUAGCAUUAGCUGCCUAUGCUAUGUGCUAAGUUGUCAGAGUCUUGUGUGGAGUUGUUAGCUGAGCUAAAGCUAAGUUUUUGGAUAAAUAAAGUGACUGAGGAGAUAUAUAUUUGUACUCAAUAGACAGAAAGGACCAGGAAACUGUCCGUUGGCCCUGUCAGGAGUACAUGUCUACUUUUUUUGAACUGCUGUCGCCAGCCACAGCACGGUUUGGGACUGUGUUCAGCCGGAAGUCCACUCACAGCCUCUUGAACACUACUCCUCACCCAUUCUUCAUCUUUCCAUCGGCCUGCUUCAGGUGACAUCCCGUGAAUUUGCGCUGUGUGGCUCGUCAUGGAGGGGCUGCUAACUAUGAUGCGGAAACACAAAUGGCGCUGGUUGGUUGGUUUAUCCAUUUUGGGCUGCUGCAGGAACAUGACGGUGCAACAUGGUGGACUCUGUUGAUGAGGAUCUACUCCUUAAAUGGUUAAUACUAAGUGUCCGUUCGAACACAAGUGGUAGUCAAUGAGUGCAGCUACACUGUGUCUGAAGGCUACACUGUCUGAUUUCUGAGAGGUCACAACAGCAUCUGGCCACCAUUCCCCCUACUGAGGCAUCCACAACACCUUACUGGCACCCAGUGGCGACAGGGGGUACUACAUCCACUUGAUGCUUGGCUGACAGCAGGGGAG